ACGUAUGGUGCAAGCGUUAUCCGGAUUUACUGGGUGUAAAGGGAGCGUAGACGGAGAGGCAAGUCUGAUGUGAAAACCCGGGGCUCAACCCCGGGACUGCAUUGGAAACUGCUUUUCUAGAGUGUCGGAGAGGUAAGUGGAAUUCCUAGUGUAGCGGUGAAAUGCGUAGAUAUUAGGAGGAACACCAGUGGCGAAGGCGGCUUACUGGACGAUGACUGACGUUGAGGCUCGAAAGCGUGGGGAGCAAACAG
rnacentral:rRNA from 1 species